rnacentral:rRNA from 1 species
UACGGAGGGUGCGAGCGUUGUUCGGAAUCACUGGGCGUAAAGCGCGUGUAGGCGGCCUCCCAAGUCUGAUGUGAAAGCCCGGGGCUCACCCCCGGAAGUGCAUUGGAAACUGUGAGGCUCGAGUCCCGGAGAGGAGGGUGGAGUUCCUGGUGUAGCGGUGAAAUGCGUAGAUAUCAGGAGGAACACCGGUGGCGAAGGCGGCCCUCUGGACGGUGACUGACGCUGAGACGCGAAAGCGUGGGGAGCAAACAGG